AUGCCUAACACAUGCAAGUCGAACGGCAGCACGGGAGCAAUCCUGGUGGCGAGUGGCGAACGGGUGAGUGAUAUAUCGGAACGUGCCCAGUCGUGGGGGGAUAACGUAGCGAAAGCUACGCUAAUACCGCAUACUAUCUAUGGAUGAAAGCGGGGGAUCGCAAGACCUCGCGCGAUUGGAGCGGCCGAUAUCAGAUUAGGUAGUUGGUGAGGUAAAGGCUCACCAAGCCGACGAUCUGUAGCUGGUCUGAGAGGACGACCAGCCACACUGGGACUGAGACACGGCCCAGACUCCUACGGGAGGCAGCAGUGGGGAAUUUUGGACAAUGGGCGCAAGCCUGAUCCAGCAAUGCCGCGUGCAGGAUGAAGGCCUUCGGGUUGUAAACUGCUUUUGUACGGAACGAAACGGUGAGCUCUAAUACAGUUUGCUAAUGACGGUACCGUAAGAAUAAGCACCGGCUAACUACGUG
rnacentral:rRNA from 1 species